AAGCAUGGACAAGUGGUCAUACAAAAACCCGAAGUCAAGGUCUAUCAAAUUGCAUCAUCUGUUACAAAUCCAUUAGUUACCAAAUAUCUUAUGAGCCUUCUUCACGAACACUUCGAUUCCUUGCCUUUUCUGGACUCAAAUGGAAGCCCAAUUCGUGUUCCAUUAAUGAAGCUUUUCACUUCCAUGGAAGAUUUUUCAGCUCACCUUUUGGAUGGUGCCAUGCAGCGAAGCAUUAUUGGAUCUUCAAAUGGCGAGCUGCUGGCUCAGAAACAAUAUGAAAUUUUACGCAGAAAGGAGUUCGCUAAUGUAUACCUUCCAUACGGAUUUUAUGCUGGAAGGUAAUAUUAACUAAUUAAUUUGAGGUUACUGCAUCAAUAUAUAACUCUAUUAUAAUUAUUAUUUGGCCUAAAGUAUUAUUAUUUUUUCAUGCAUGAUCUCCACGUGCCAGGUUUGAUUGCAGCAACACACUGGGGCUAAUGCAGAUCAUGAAUGAAGAAGAGAAGAAAAAGUUUGGAUUUGACAUGGGGAGCAUUGAUUGGAAGCAUUACAUUACAAAUGUUCACGUACCAGGCUUAAGGAGGCAUGUCAUGAAGGAAAGGAGACGGGAGAAGAGGGUGGGAGCUGAGAAUAAAAUUCCGGGGGGGCCAAAAUUUGAUAAAAGUAAACUUUAAGGAGUAAAGAUUAAAAAAUGCAUUUAAUUAUUGGGUUAAACUGCUAAAGUAUUAAACUUACGGGGGCCACAUUAAAAAAUUAAACUAUGUUCUCUGAGAUGAAUUUAUUAGCUCCGCCCAUUACGGGAGAUAUCUAGCUGCUGUUUAAUGACCAUGUGAAUCAUGUUUAGUCAUGUUACUACUUUACAUUAAUAUUUUGAUUUUUAAUAAUAAAUAGAUAUUAUGAAAUUUAUUUUUAUUAAAGGGAAAUAAUGAAAAAUAGGCCCUUCAAUUAAAAAAAUAAAUUAAUAAAUGCCAAUAAAUUGAUAAUGAUAAUUUCUAUAUUUUUGAUGAAUUAAUCCUCAUUGUUACGCAUUUACUCUAAAGGUGGUUGAUUUGAGUGAGUUAUUGGAGAUUUGAUGCAUCUUUGGUGACCGGAAGAUGCAAUGCUUUUGGUCUAAUUGAUGUUUGGGCUAUAGAGGGAUUGAUGAAAAGGAGAAGAGGGCCGUUAGAAGAGAUACUUAACCAUAAUUAUGUAUUGAAUUUAAUUAAAUGUAUGUUAUUAUAUAUGUUAUUGUGCGCGACAUAUCACAUUUUACCGGAUUAUUAAUCAGAUUGUAAGACGUUAGUCAAUAAUCAAGUGACACAUGGUCAUUGCACAUUAUACUUGGUUGGGACUCAUUUACAAUUUCUGGGCAGUCCAAAAGAAUAAGAACUAAUGAUAAUAAUGAUUAACAUGUUGAUUUAAUGUAAUGAUAACAUAAGUAAUCUGCGGGGUGGAGACGUCAAUCAUGGAGAAAAGCGGUCAUGUAGACCUCUGACGUAUCUCGACUGCUGAUGUGUAGACGUGUAGUCUGGGUUUGACUUUAACCAAUCCAGCUCAUUUGUCCUGUAACAUAUUUAUUUAUUAAUUACAUUUUAUGUCGAUUUUUUUUAUAUCAUUAAUGUCAUAUACAAUUUGCUUGUACGCGUAGUAUUCAAAAGCGCUGACUGGCCUAUUUACAAGUGCUGUGGUAAGCUCUGUUCAGGCAGAAAACAAAGAUGGAAUAACUGUUUCGGAUUUUAUUUCCUGUCUUCUUAGAGAUUUUGGGCAAACAAGUGGACCGAGUAGUAGCCAGGAGGAUAUUAGGACCUCAGUAGCUUGGGGGGACAUUGGAAAUGCUGUCCCACAUUUAUUCACAAGGAAUCCAGGAUGCUGUACCAUGUAAUAACUAUUGACUUAUUCUUCUUUUCCUGUUGUUGUGUCCGUUUUGAAAUAUUUGAAUAUCUUUAUAUUUACUUUUGUUCUUUCUUCAGGAUUGGGCCCAUGAAUAAGGAGUAUAGGCAGCGGAAGUUUGCUGCAUCUAUAAAAUGUAAAAGACCAACAAAAAUUGUUCGGCCUGCAGAGGUAAGAGUUUUGUAAUUCAAGCUUCCGUGUUAGUUAAUAUGAAAUUAUUGGCUUUAGUUAUUUGUUAUCUCUCUUGUCUUACUUGAAGAUUACUUUUCCUUGGAGGCCUUGUACAAGUUAAUGAGCUUUCCACUACCCUUACAAGCUGUGUUGAUUGCGAUAUGCUUUGCAUAUUCUUACAUUAUUUGUUUAAGAGUUCCAUUUGGAUUAUAUAUGUCUAGUAGUUUCUUCUGCCUUUUUCCCCUGCUGCAAGAUUGAUCAAUAUUUUAAAUUUGGUGUAACUUUUGUGCAGGUUGAUGGUACAGCUACGAAAGAGAGAAUAGAUACCGAUAAAAAUAUGUUAACCAUGUUUAAUAUCUUGAGGAAAAACAGAAGAGUCAGACUUGAGCAUCUGGUAUUGAACAGAAAUUCUUUUGCACAGACGGUGGAAAAUUUAUUUACCCUAUCAUUUUUAGUUAAAGAUGGGCGGGCUGAAAUUGUAGUGGAUGAGAAAGGGUUUCAUCUAGUAUGUAAGAUCUUCUGCAAAUACCUUUCUUUUGUCUCUUACAUAAGUUCUUUUCUUUUUUAUUAUUUUUUAAUAACACUUACAACUUUUUCCCAUUUUCAGCACCAAAGAAUGCUCCCUCUGCCGAUGCUGUUGCCUCUAAGGUGGUUUCUUACAACCACUUUGUCUUCAGAUUUGACUUUAAGGAUUGGAAGGUACUUUGGAAAAAAAUAAAAAUAAAAAUUGCUAUGUGCUCUACAGUGAGAUUGUGUUUUUAAUAUGUUUCUACUGUAUGCUUCCUAAUUGGAUGUUUGAGUUGGUUUUUUGUGUAUCCAACAUACAGGUUUUCUUUCUUUGAGCAGCAUGUUAUGUCUACUUGAAGCUCUUAAUUGUGGUUAAUAAUUCUUGUUUGUUGCUGUUAUUGGUUUCUAAAGUUUUCUGGUAUUUUCAGUUGAUGAUGAGCACUGUUGAGGUUGGGGAGGAGCUGAUGCCUCAUAGGACUGAAGUAAACAUAUCAAGCAGUUGUGAACCUGCUCAAGUAAAUGAAGAAACUCUGGAAAUAGCACCCAUAAUGCCCACAAGGAAACUGUCCAGAAACCGUGGCUUGGUUUUACCUGAACAGUCAGUACAGGAAACUUCACUUGAGAAUGAAGAUGCUGAAGUAAGAGAUGCUGCCAUCCGUAAAGGGAAGUGUAAAGUAAGAUGAUACAGACUUAAGAGGGUUUUGUGGUGCUUCAGCUUCUCUUUGCAGCUUAGUUAGGAGAUGUCUAGAAAUUAGGAUGAUUUAAGACUGUACAUAGAUAGAAUUAAUUUUUUGGGUUUAGGCACGUACAUAGGUCCGUAUAUUUCGUUAUUUCAUUAUCAAAUAGAAAAUAAGAAUAUUCUUUAUAUUCCCACUAGUCCCUCCUUUUAUUUCCUCAAUUUUGUAGUAUUAUCCUUUUCUUUACCUAACAAAAAAAAAAAGAAAAAAAAGAAUUGGUGGUCGUGCAUUGUCAAAAUCCUAUUGACUUUUUCAACUCCUAAAUGAUAUAAAAAGAACAGAUAAUGAAAAAAGGUCUCGUCUAAAAUGAUGUAUGGAUUAGUCUUCAAUCCCGGCAGGCAUCAAAUGAGCUUUGUGAUAUGCAGCUGAAGCGGUUAAUAAGAAGAGCAAACAACAUCAUUUGUGCCAAAUAAAAUUUAUCACUGAUAUCUGCACGACAAUUAAAUUGAUGAUCAUUAACAUCUGGCUCUACUUAGGGAAUGUGAAGGUCCUAAAAUGUGAGGCUUUCAGCUCCAUCUCCCAUUGCAUCUAGACCAUUGUGGACAUAAAUAACAGCGCCAGUGAUUGCUGAAGCCAAAGACGAUGCUAGGAAAGCUGCGGCAUUCCCCACCUCCUCGGUUCCAUUAUAGGUUAAAAUGUUAUUUCGAUAAACAACCAGGUGCAAAUACAGAGCUUCAGUUAUUUGAUGACUCGCCUGCCGACAUCUCUUUCUGUAAGGAUGCAUUUUCCAGUGAGUAAUCAAUCAUGACAUCAAUAAAACCAAUUGCUUUUGGCAUGGCUAAAAAAUGUAAGGAAUGACAUUGUUAUGUUUGGUAAAAUAGCAUUAUAGGAACCCUUACAUAAGAAAAACUCAAAUCACUACAAUCAAUUGUUGAAAUGAAGCAGCUCUACAAAGCUAACAUGGACCAGUUUAGUGAGAUUAUAUUUCAUUGGUGAGAGGUAAUUGUUAACCUGUAGAUAUUGUGUUGACUCUAAUUUUAUGUUUUCUUCCAGCUUCGAGAGCCAGCACCUAAUCAAGGAAAGACAUUUCAUAGAUACGAUAUAUUCAUAAGAAACAUCUGUCGAAAGAGAAACAGAUCUUUAAGUAUCCUACGCAAAUAGUACUUGCACGCGUAUCACUCUCCAGAGCACUUCUUGCUAAGCUCAUACCUCCACCACAUCUGAACAAAAAAAUGUUCAGGAGGGGAAAAUCAGACAAUGAGAAACUUGAUCAUGAAAGCAAAUGGCGUUAAAAGCAGCAUACCCUGGAAUGAAGCUUUCAGAACCCAUGUACGUUAGAGAAAUUGAAGCACCACCUGUAAGUUACAACAGCCAGUUUAAAGUCUAGCAUGCUGUUGCAUUUCAGAUAUCAUCACGAGGAGAUGUAAUAUUAGGAAUCAUUAUUGGAACGAAAUCAAUUAACAAGUAAGAAAUUAUGAAUAAUCAAUUUGAUUAUUCAUUAUUUCAGUUUCUAAUAGAGGAUUUGCACAUUGUAAGAAAUGUGCCUGGAUUCAUUAUUGGAACGAAAUGCUUGAGUAAAGAAACAAAGGAGGUAGUCGAUGCAGAUCCGAGGUAUCCGUGCCUUGAUGUCUCCUAAAGAGGCUUGCUAACCUGUUCAUGAUUUCUUACAGUUGAGGUGCAUAGCAAACUCAAAAGUAACAGCACAAAAACGACAAAAAAAAGCCAAGAGCUGAACCUUGGGCCCAUUUACAAGUGAAUGGACAAGGAUAUCAAUGCUGCCAAAAUGCUGUUUUACAGAUUCAGCAAUCUCCUACGGGGACGGAAUUACAAAUUAGUCAAUCAUCGUGCUGUUUGUUAACUGUUUAUAUAGGAACUUUGGAAGAACAGGACAUCUUAUUCAAUUAUGGAAUUGAUCAUGAAGGUCAAUGAACAGAAACCUGUGGAAACAUAAAUGCGGACCCAAGAAAUAUAGGGAGGCAGUGUGUAACGAUCAAAAGAAAUGUUUGUUCCUAUAUGACCCCAAUAAUAUUGAUCCCCCAACACCGAGAGGGAAAUAAUAAAAACCUUAGAAUAAUGUACGCCAUUUAUAUGGUCAAAUGAAUUAUUAUUGCAUAUGGCACCUCAAAAUUCAAAAUUAUACACAAUUCCAUUAGCUGAAGAGCAUCACAGAAAAUGGUUUACAUGCCUCCCACGUUAUUUUGCACUUAAAAAUAAUGAUGUUAAUUUACAUCAGAGUUUAUGGAUAUCGCUUCUCUGAUGCACUUGAUCAUGUGCUUGUAAGAUAUACAUAAACGAUGGAUUAUUCCUGAACAGUCCAUUUUUGAGGACCUGCGUGUCGUUUGUUAUUUUUUACCUGCACAAAAUAGCAAAUAUGAGUAUAAUCAAGAAUUUUUUUUGUAAACUAAUUUAGUCGCAACACCCAUAACCAUCAUAAGAAGUAUCGUUACAUUUUUAGGAACAUCCUCAGGAUUAUCAUAAACUGCAUCCAGAGGGUAAACUUUGGAAAUUUCCAUCAACAAACCAUCUGGUAACCUGAAAUAUCAAAUUCAAACAUACCAAUGAGCAUAGACGCAAGGCAGUACAGUAAGGGGGUGUUUGGUACCCCCUCAUUACAGGGGAGUACAAUGCAGCCUCAUGUUUGGGGCACCAAGCACCCUAAUGGAGCAAGUUGGCGCAUUAACUAAACCCAACGUUACUAAAAAAUAGUUGGGUUUAGCUAAUACGGCUUGCCAUCUUUUUUUUUUUUCCCUUCUUAAAUUUUUCCCUGUUAAAUUAACUUUGUAAUAAUAAUAAAUAAAUAUAAUUUUUUAAUAUAAUAUAAUAUUUUAUUUUUAUUUGCAUAAUAUAAUUUUUAAUAUAAAUUAAUAGAUUUAAAAUUUAUUACUCAAUAAUAUUAUAUUAUAUUUUAAUUUUUACUAUACUAAAAAUAUAACUAAAUAAUAUAUUAUUUAAUUAUAUUAUAAUAGUUAAUAUAUAAAAUUGAUUAAUCUUUAAUAAGUUAAUAUAACAAAAAUUAUAAAUAUUUAAAUAUGAAUAAAUUUGAAUAAUAUUAAAUGAAAAUUAAUAAUAUAAACAAUUACUAGAUUAUUUAACACAAUCUAUUUUAUUAGUGAUCAUAUGUUACAACAAUUGUAUCACUUUAUUAUUUUGUGAUCAUCUUGUGGUAUAUAUAAACUUUUAUUCUAUCAUCCUAAGGUGAUUUUUCAACUAAUCUUGAAGAUUUUAAUUAUUUAUUUAUGUUGUUAUAUUACUUAGAGAUUAUUUGAUUAAAUUAUUUGUUUCGAUCUUUACUUCAUAGGUUAUAUGUUUACAAAAUACUGAAAAAUACAUUUUCGAAAACUUAAGGGUAUAAGCUUCGAUUUUUAUGAAUAAUUAUGAUAUUUUUAUUUAAAAUGUUAAAUUUCUAAAAUUUAAGACUUUUAUAUUUAGUAUUUUUCUAAGUACUAAUAAAUAAUAUUUUCUAAAUAUAUAAUUUAAAUUAAUCAUAAAAAAAUUAAUAUAGUAUUGUGCAGCACCAAAUCUAGUAUAAUUAAAAAUUAAUACAAUAUAGUGUAGCACUAAACAUUAUAUAAUAUUAUUAUAAUACAAUGUUAAUGCAAUACAAUAAUACACAUGUAUUAAAAUAAUACAAUAUAGCAUAACACAGUGUGUCAAAAAUAAGGAUUUGUGUAAUUACAAGCGUGAUUCGUCAAAUUUCCCAUGCCGCAGGCUGCUUUAAAAAAAUGUUUAACAGCCUGCAUAAAGCAAAAAUAGUUAGUUAGAAAACACAAUUUUGGCAGAACUCGAGCAUGUCUAUUGUCAUAAGAGAAUUAAGUUUGACUAUUUACAUAGAGGCACCUAUGUACCGAUGAGAACUUCAACACCCGUAGCUGCGAGAGAUUUUGCAAUUGCCCAACCGUAUCCAUUGUCAUCAGCGAUCGCAGCAAUAAAUGCUCGUUUAUCUGCCAACAAUUGUGUCAUUGAAAGAUGUUUGAAAUUGGCCAGUACUUGUAGCACAUAUAAACUCUAUUGCGAUUUCGCGAGGCAAUCCACAUUGAUGUAAUGAAAGUGAGGGGCCCACAACAAUGACAGUCCGCCCCGAAUAAUUGAUCCGUUUGCCAAGCCAAGUCUCACGAAAUCUUCCCUCUUUUCCUUCAAUUACAUCUGAAAAACGACUUAUAAAUCUUAUUAUAACCAUCCCUCAUUGACUGUCCACGGAUUCCAUUAUCAAGAAGUGUAUCCACAGCCCCUGUACAAAGCUUUUCUAGACGUCUUUCCUUCCAGAAACUCCUUUUAUCAUUUCGUCCAAGAGGAAUAAUUCCUCUAAUUCUAUGAAUGAUUGAAUUAAAAUUUUUGAACUAAGCCCCUCCAAAUCUAACUGGCUGGGUCCGCCUCGCUUAUUACCAAACUUGUCUAGUUCUUUGCAUCUGCAAGUUUGAAUUAAUGUGAAUGUACAUAUAACAUGUAAAAGAAAGAAUAUAUAUAUAUAUAUAUAUAUAUAUAUAUAUAUAUAUAUAUAUAUAUAUAUAUUCUUUUAUAUAUAAACUAUCCUUAAAUUUCUAGAUUUGUAAUUGUGACUUUUUAGAUGAUGAGACAAACGAAGGGAAAGAAUUUUGAUCGAGUUUAAUUGAAAGAGGACUGGACGUUUAAAGGAGGUGACGAGAGAGAGAAACGAAUGGUGAAAUGAUUAAAAAAAAUUUCCUUGUUAUUUUAGAUUAUGUCAUAUGUGGAAUAAAUAAAAUUGACCCACUAUAUUAAAAAAAAAAGUUAACAAAAGAUAUAUACCCCAUAAAAAAUAAUAAUUUUCCUUACGGGAAGGAAAUUAAGUAUUAUUUUUUGUGGUUCAUUUGCCUAAUCUAGGGCAAAGAGUAUUAGAUCUGUGUGCGUCUCUGUGUGGCAACAAAGUCACGAACCAGCAGCUACAAAGUCACGAACCGGCAGCUACGAAGUCAUGAACUGACAAUACGUAUAGGCACGUAUAAUAAUAAUAAUUGAGAUACUCGGUGUAAAAUUGAUGCAAUAUCUGUUGAUUGAAUUGCAUUAUACAUGAGCAUUUAAUACACAGGACAAUAAAUAAUUGUGACACGAGAUACAAACUAUAUAUCCAAAGUAAGUAUAAUAUUUAAUGUUUUAUUACACUUUCACACAUUUGGUGAACAUUUAUGUAUUAUUUUUAUGGUACUACAUUUUUUUAUUGUAUUAAAAAGAUUGCGUAUACACUCAUCUCCUUUUUCUAUAAAACCUCACACGUAGAACUCCAUCUUUGCAUCUUCACUUGAAAAUGUCGAAAAAUUCAGCCCAAUACUCAAAGCAAUACGGUAUUGGUAUUGAAAAAUUUCUUGUAGGGAAGAGCUUUUUUGUUACUGGGGCAACAGGGUUUCUCGCAAAGGGUAUAUUUUCAUUUAAGUUUUAUUUUUAACACACUAUUUUGGUUUUAUUUUGUGUGUGUGUGUGCGCGCGCGCGCACAUGCUUUUUUAUUACUAGGACAACAAGACUUCUUGCAAAGGGUAUAUAUAUUUUAAGUUUUAUCUUUAACACACUCUUUUUGUUUUAUUAUAUUUAUUAUUUUUAAAAAAAAUUGGGAAUUGUUUAACCCCUAUCUUUUCUAAAAUUCAAAUUUAGUGGCCAGCUAAAUAAAAUUACAUGAAAAUCAUUCGAUAAAACCUCUAAGACAAAGUAUUUUAGAACAUACAGUGUAGGAAUCGACGAGCUAUAACCUUGAAAUGUAUUAAUAUUAUUAUACUUUUCAAUUUUCUUUUUUCUUUUUCAGUUCUUAUAGAGAAGAUAUUACGAACAGCGCCUGAGGUGGGUAAGAUAUUUCUUUUGAUCAAGGCAGAAAGUGAAGAAGCUGCAUCGAAAAGAUUAAAAGAUGAAGUAUGUUUGUUAUAGACUUUUAAAUUUUACUGUUAAUUCACUAAUUUUUUAGAUUUUACUAUUUUGUCCCAAAUCUUUAAUUUCUUUAUUAUUAUUAUUUUUAUUAUUUUGGUUGUGCACUUUCAGGUCAUCAAUGCGGAACUUUUCAAGUGUCUUCAGCAAACCUACGGGGAAUGCUACCAAGAUUUCAUGUUAAAUAAAUUGGUUCCUGUGGUAGGAAAUAUAAGUGAAAGUAACCUUGGAUUAGAAGGAGAUUUGGCCAAAGUGAUCGCAAAUGAAGUCGACGUAAUUAUAAAUUCUGCAGCUAAUACAACCUUACACGAAAGGUUAUAAACUUAUAAUCAUUUAUGACCUUGAUUUAAUCAUAGUUAUAUCAAAUAGAAAGUGAUAUCAACUAACUAGUCUAGCUCUUCAACAAACUAGUGGUAGAUCUAUAAAAAUUUUAGAAAAUCUUUUUUAAAUUUCAGUUAAAAUUUUUAUUUGUCCUCAAUAAAAAUUGUGAUUUCUUUCCAUCGGUUUUGAAUAAUAUAUAUAAACAAAUAAGCUCAAAAGUAUAUUUUCAUUGUCAAAAUAUCUUUAAAGAAUACGUUAAAAUUUAAAAUUUUUUUUAAAAUACUUGAGAAAAACCUAAUUGUUUUACAGUAAAUUAAAUUUGUUCCUACUGAUCUUGAAAUCUGGGCAACGACACAAUAUAUAUUUUUAAAAAAUAUUGCACGUAAUUAUUUAGAUACAUAAUAUAAGUGGCAUCAUGUAGUUUAAUUUGAAAUUGCAGAUAUGACAUUGCUAUCGAUAUAAACACAAGAGGACCUUCCCAUGUCAUGAAUUUUGCGAAAAAGUGCAAGAAGAUUAAGGUUUUUGUGCACAUGUCGACAGGCAAGUGUCUAAAACCUAUAAUGUUCGCAGCAGUCAGCAAGAACCUAUGUGAAAAGAAAAUUGUAAUUUUGAUUUCCUUAAGCUUUUGCCUGAACUCGAGGACUAAAAUGUUGUUACCCUUCUUUCAAAAUUAUUUGCAGCAUAUGUUAAUGGAAAGAGACAAGGAAGGAUUAUGGAAAAGCCCUUCUACAUGGGGGAUACGAUAGCAAGGGAAUUAAACUUCAAUAACUCCAAAAUUGAACCAAAAUUGGACGUUGAAAAAGAAAUAGAGUUGGCUAUGAAAUCCAAAAAAGCCCUUGAAAAUGAUGAAGACGCUCGAAAGAAAAUGAAGGAAUUGGGUUUAGAAAGGUGAUAAAAUCCCCCUUCACUUUAAUAUUUUCUUUGUUUAGAUUUGUUGCUGCUUCGUAUAUGUAACAUCUAAUUGUUAAUUAGGGCAAGAAAAUAUGGAUGGGACGUCACAUAUGUUUUCACAAAGGCUAUGGGUGAAAUGAUGAUUGAUACCUUGAAAGAAAAUAUACCGGUUGUGAUCAUUCGACCUAGUAUGAUUCAGAGCACUUAUAAAAAACCAUUCGCUGGUUGGAUACAAGGAAAUAGGUAUCGGAAAUCAAUUUUUGUUGUAUGUACGUAUAUAUAUAUUGUUUCAGAGAAAUUUUUUAAUAUUAAUUGUUGGUUUAUAUACUCUCUUCUGUAAACUAUUAUCAUGUGUACUCUUAUAUAUCUUAGAUUCUUGUCAUGUGCAAAUAACCAAUGAAUUAAGAGUAAAUAUAGAUACAUGACACAGGAAAACCUAAAAUUAAUUUUUCCAUUAUUUAUAUAUGAGAUUUUAGAUAUCUUAUCUCCCUACCCUACUUCUUGAUUCACAGGAUCUUGGAUCUUAUGAUUUUGUACUAUGGAAGAGGGCAGCUAAACGAGUUUGUAGGAGACCCUAGUGGAAUAUUGGAUGUAGUAAGUAAUAUCAACCAUUUUACUCAAAUGGCUUUUUCAUUGGUGGACCAUGAUUUUGUACUCAUAUAAGUUUUAUUUUAGCAAAAUAGAAGGGAAUUUGCACAUGAUUGAUAGUUAAUUAAUUAAUAUAUAUGCAUAAAAUUUGACAUUUAUCCUAACCACUUAGUGAUAUUUUAGAAAAAUGUUAAAAAAAUUUACACAUGAUUGUUAGUGUUUUGUCAAUUUUGUUAUCCAAAUAUCAGUGCUCAUUAUUUUAACAUAAAUAUUGGCUGCUACAGGUCCCAGUCGACAUGGUUGUGAACGCAACGUUGGCAGCCAUCGCAAAGCAUGGACAAGUGGUCAUACAAAAACCAGAAGUCAAGGUCUAUCAAAUUGCAUCAUCUGUUACAAACCCAUUAGUUACCAAAUAUCUUUUGAGCCUUCUUCACGAACACUUCGAUUCCUCGCCUGUUCUGGACUCAAAGGGAAGCCCAAUCCGUGUUCCAGUAAUGAAGCUUUUCACUUCCAUGGAAGAUUUUUCAGCUCACCUUUUGGAUGGUGCCAUGCAGCGAAGCAUUAUUGGAUCUUCAAAUGGCGAGCUGCUGGCUCAGAAACAAUAUGAAAUUUUACGCAGAAAGGAGUUCGCUAAUGUAUACCUUCCAUACGGACUUUAUGCUGGAAGGU
rnacentral:lncRNA from 1 species